rnacentral:rRNA from 1 species
UACAGAGGGUGCGAGCGUUGUCCGGAAUCACUGGGCGUAAAGGGCGCGUAGGUGGCGCUCCAAGUCUGUGGUGAAAGCUCGAUGCUCAACAUCGAGUCGGCCACGGAGACUGGAGGGCUCGAGCACUGUAGGGGCAGAUGGAAUUCCGGGUGUAGCGGUGAAAUGCGUAGAUAUCGAGAGGAACACCUGCGGCGAAGGCGGGUUGCUGGGCUGACACUGACGCUGAUGCGCGAAAGCCAGGGGAGCGAACGGG